CUACAGGCUUAACACAUGCAAGUCGAGGGGCAGCAUCAUCAAAGCUUGCUUUGAUGGAUGGCGACCGGCGCACGGGUGAGUAACACGUAUCCAACCUGCCGACAACACUGGGAUAGCCUUUCGAAAGAAAGAUUAAUACCGGAUGGUAUAGUUUUCCCGCAUGGGAUGCGUUCCAUUAGAUAGUAGGCGGGGUAACGGCCCACCAAGACUACGAUGGAUAGGGGUUCUGAGAGGAAGGUCCCCACAUUGGUACUGAGACACGGACCAAACUCC
rnacentral:rRNA from 1 species